rnacentral:rRNA from 1 species
CCUACGGGAGGCAGCAGUGGGGAAUAUUACACAAUGGGCGAAAGCCUGAUGCAGCAACGCCGCGUGCGGGAUGACGGCCUUCGGGUUGUAAACCGCUUUCAGUUCCGACGAAGCGCAAGUGACGGUAGGAACAGAAGAAGGACCGGCCAACUACGUGCCAGCAGCCGCGGUGAUACGUAGGGUCCGAGCGUUGUCCGGAAUUAUUGGGCGUAAAGGGCUUGUAGGCGGUUCGUCACGUCGGAAGUGAAAACUCAGGGCUUAACCCUGAGCCUGCUUCCGAUACGGGCAAACUAGAGGAAUGCAGGGGAGAACGGAAUUCCUGGUGGAGCGGUGGAAUGCGCAGAUAUCAGGAGGAACACCGGUGGCGAAGGCGGUUCUCUGGGCAUUUCCUGACGCUGAGAAGCGAAAGCGUGGGGAGCAAACAGGCUUAGAUACCCUGGUAGUCCACGCCGUAAACGGUGGGCACUAGGUGUGGGGAACAUUCCACGUUCUCCGUGCCGAAGCUAACGCAUUAAGUGCCCCGCCUGGGGAGUACGGCCGCAAGGCUAAAACUCAAAGGAAUUGACGGGGGCCCGCACAAGCGGCGGAGCAUGCGGAUUAAUUCGAUGCAACGCGAAGAACCUUACCUGGGUUUGACAUAUACCGGAAAGCUGCAGAGAUGUAGCCCCCGCAAGGUCGGUAUACAGGUGGUGCAUGGCUGUCGUCAGCUCGUGUCGUGAGAUGUUGGGUUAAGUCCCGCAACGAGCGCAACCCUCGUCCUAUGUUGCCAGCGGAUAAUGCCGGGGACUCAUAGGAGACUGCCGGGGUCAACUCGGAGGAGGGUGGGGAUGACGUCAAGUCAUCAUGCCCCUUAAGUCCAGGGCUUCACGCAUGCCACAAUGGCUGGUACAAAGGGCUGCAUACCGCAAGGUUGAGCGAAUCCAAAAAGCCAGUCUCAGUUCGGAUGGGGUCUGCACUCGACCCAUUGAAGUCGGAGUCGCUAGUAUCGCAGAUCGGCACGCGCGGUGAAUACGUUCCCGG